GGGAGCCCCGCCCCCAACAUGGCGUCUCACUGACAGUUGGUUGCCGAGCGGCAGAGGCGGAUCCUGCUCCUGAGGGCGGCGGCGGCGGCGGCGGCGGCAGGGCCGGGGUCUCCCGGGCCGGGGUCGGGGGUAUGGCGACUCGGACCGCCUAGGGCGGAGUUGCACGGGCGAGGCAGCAAGUGGGGCGCCGCUGGCGGGCGCGGCGGCCGCUGCCAUGGACUGGUGAUCGCGGCGGCUCCUGCUCCGUUUCCCCCGGCCGGGCGUCUGCUCCUCAGCGCCAAGCCUUCAGCCGGGGCCAUGGGCUCGUCGGCGGCCGCGGCGGCGGCGGCGGCGGCGGCCGCUGACUCGGCGCAGUGGCUCUCGGUGAAGGAGGAGACCAUCUUCCUGCACGACGGGCUGAUCCGGGUCACCGACCUGGCCGAGCUGCCCAGCGAGAUCCUCGGGGCCCCAGAGGCCGCGGACACCGACCUGGAGAUUUUAACCUUUGAGACCAAGAACCCGUCGGAAUUAGCAGAACGUUUGCGCUCUGUUUGUGGGAAUCAGAGCAAUGCCUAUGCCCGGCUGCUGGAAUACCGCCUGAAUGCCUUGCGAGGACUGUGGAAUGCCCAGCGCCAGCUGGCCUUAGAAGAACAGCAUGAAAGGGAAAGUUCAGGUGAUGAGGAAACUUUGGCCCUGCUCAAACGCCAGGGCUUGUUGCAGCAACCUGAGCAAGCGCCCUUCACAUCGAGGAUGGGGCUCCUGCUGGUCUUCCCCCUUAUUCAGUCCCAGAGUAGAACAGACCCCUCUCUCUGUAACAUAACUGCUGAGGUGCUAUUGAACUGCCUUCGUGACUGCCAGCCUUUGAGCUUGACCAAGGAGCCUGCUGACUGUCUCAAUGGAAUUGAAACUUUGCUGUGCUCUUGGCUAGAGGAGACUUCUGACACAGGCCGACACAUCCCACAUAAGCAAAAAGAAAAUGCUGCUGCUGCCCUGGUGGCUUUGGCUUGUGCCAGGGGAUCAUUGAAAACUUUCGUCCAUACAGUCCAUCUAUUACAGAAACAGACGGAUCUAGGGUCCCUGCCUGUAGCUGAUGUGCUAUAUAGGCUGUUGCUUUUGGAAGGGGGGCCUGGAUCUCCCUCCUGUUUGCUUGGGGGCAAACACAUAGUAUCAUGGGGUUAUGAAGACAUGUUGCCUGCGCCGGAUAGCAACACUGGCUCCAGUUCUGAAAAUAAAGAUGCUGACUUGGGACGCUGUCUCACGGCAGAUGGUCUUUACCUGUAUACUACUAACUCAGUUGGAAGAGGAGUAAGCAAAUUGGGAUCUGGAUUACAUGGUACUCUCAGAGGUUUUGUGUACUGCCGGAACGAGGAGUUGGAACCAGGAUGGGUGGCUUUUGGCAGCGGCAGUCUUCUCCACCGGCCUGUCUCUUUCGAUAAUAAACCUCACUCCCUUUUCCAGGUCAUUGACCAGAACACCCUUCAGGUGUGCCAGGUUGUGCCAAUGCCAGCCAAUCACCUCCCCAUUGGCAGCACCAUGAGCACUGUGCACCUGUCUUCAGAUGGCACUUACUUCUAUUGGAUCUGGUCUCCUGCCAGCCUGAAUGAGAAAACACCGAAGGGACAUUCUGUCUUCAUGGACAUUUUUGAACUUGUGGUUGAAAAUGGUGUAUUUGUAGCCAACCCACUUCAGGAACGUACAAUUCUAAUGAGAAAAGAGGGCGAAUCUGCCAAAAGCAUUAAUGAGAUGCUUCUAAGUAGACUUUCUCGGUAUAGAGCCUCCCCGUCAGCAACGCUUGCUGCCCUGACUGGUUCCACCAUCUCCAACACACUGAAAGAGGAUCAAGCAGCAAAUACUAGCUGUGGGCUGCCUCUAAAAAUGCUGCGGAAGACACCCAUAUAUACCUGUGGCACCUACUUGGUGAUGCUGGUGCCUCCUCCAGGGGGAUCAGGCAGCUCUGCCACCCGAUCUCUUUUUGGUGGAACAAGUGGUUUGUCAUCUUUAAAAAUCCUAGCCUCCAGCUUGGUGUAUAAUAUUUCGGAUGGUCAGUUUACAAGUCGUGCAGAUCUCAUAGAUGCUGCUGGAAGCUCACUGGGGCGUGGUGCUCUCGUACCAGGAUUGGGAGCGUGUUAUGACACAGUGAACAACAUGCUAUGGACAUGCUCAAAUGACUAUAUCGAUCAGUGGUGUAACCCUGGGAAUCAAGCCUUCCAUUAUGUCUGCCAGAGACUUGGAGUCAGUCACAUUAUCACUGAGCCCAAAGAAGAGGCUAUAACCACGAAUGAGGUUAUAAACCAAUUAUUGCACCACGUUGGUGCGAUGUGCAUACACCAACUCAAUCUUCUUGCCACCAACCCCAAUCUUCCAAUCACAAGUGUCUUGGGCAAGCAGCAUCCAAUUGAAGCACAUCAUCUUAGCAGUAUUUGUGACAUUAUGGAGAAGGCCAUGGUUAAUGGAGAUACCUGUAUUAUACGCUGCAUUCUCGUUGUCUUUCAGGUGGUAUUUAAAUUUUUCUUCAGCCCACAAACUGAAAGGAAUCGAGACAUCAUUCGACGGUCGGGAUUGCUUCUUUGGCAGUUGUUGAUGGCUCCAAAAGAUCAAAUUUGCCCUGAAAUUCAGAAGGAAGUCUGCCUUGCCAUCAGCUCUGGUUUAAAUAUUUUGUACCCAGGUGAAACUGAAAUCAAUAACUUACUUAAACUGGUCUUAACAGAAGGAGAGAGAAACAGUGGACUCUCCCAGCUACGGGAUGUGAUCCUAACCAACCUGGCUGAACAGCUCCAAAACAACCGAUUUGGCAGUGAUGAGGAUGAUCAUUACAGACUAAAUGAUGAACUUUUACACUACAUUCUGAAGAUUGUUGUACGAGAAUCCUGUAUCUUAAUCACCAAGUGCCAAACUGUCUCUAAAGAUGAUUUUCAAAAGCUCCUUUCAACUGUGCCUGCUGCAUCCUCCUGCCUGCGCUAUCUGAUGGCAGUUCAGAAUCACCUUCUCAGUAACACUAUUUUGAUUAAACCUGAUGAGAAUGAUGACAGUGACAGCUCCUUGCAGGGAGAGACAUUGAAGGUACAGGAGCUAAAAGUCAGUAUUUUGGCUCUUGCCACCCAAAUCCUGACUGGAUGUGAUGAAGUGUUGGAAAUGCUACAGCAGGUCACAACUGCCCUCAUAAAUAGUGACAUAGCAGACCGUGAGCAGAGGUUAAAAGGCUUGGAACAAGUUACUAAGGCUACUAUGCUUGGUCACCUUCUUCCAGUGUUACUGACCUCCUUGAUGCAUCCAAAUUUACAGACUCUGAUCAUGGCGGAUGCCCUGAUGCCUCAGCUAGUGCAGCUGGUACUCUAUACCAGCCAGACGGCGUUGCUGCUUAAAACCCAGUGUCCGGUUUUUGCUGAGGUGGGCUGUUCCCCGUGUGGUGCACCAGACCAGAAGUGCAGGCUGUUCCCUGAUGAGAGAAUGUUAGAAGAGAAGGAAGAGCCAGGAUUUCUCACUGGUUUAAAGAUUCCUGCCCCAUGGGCUGCUGGAAAGACUGUGGAAACAGUCCACCCCGUCAGAGACAACUAUAAAUUUAAAGAAACGGUCCAUAUCCCAGGAGCUCGCUGCCUGUACCUUAGAUUUGAUAGCAGAUGCUCUUCGCAAUAUGACUAUGACAAAUCUAACAGUAUAUUUUCUGUUUUGAAGUUGGUGAUAUAUGCGGGGCCUAACACAAACAGUAGGAAGGUUGCUGAAUAUGGAGGCAACACACUGGGAUAUGGCAGCCGUAGUGUCUUAGGAACUGGUUGGCCGAAAGACUUGGUGAAGGUGGAAGGAGAUACAGUCACCUUCUCCUUUGAAAUGAGAAGUGGCCGUGAACACAACACUCCUGAUAAAGCCAUGUGGGGCUUUGCUUGCACAGUUCGCGCUCAGGAGUCUUCGGAGGAUGUCUCAGGAGGCUUGCCCUUUCUGGUAGACCUGGCUUUAGGUCUUUCUGUGUUAGCUUGUUCCAUGUUAAGAAUCCUGUACAAUGGACCAGAAAUUACCAAAGAAGAAGAAGCCUGUCAGGAGCUAUUGCGGUCCAAACUUUUACAAAGGUGCCAGUGGCAGGUGGAGGCCAAUGGCGUGAUCUCCCCUGCCCUUACUCCGAGCCCCUCUCCACUGCCUCUGACCAUAGAGGAAGACAGAGAAUUCACCUACCCCUCUGAUGUCCUCGUGCCUCCUGUUGGAAACUACUUUGAUCUGCCUCGGAUCAGACUGCCUCCAGGAAUCAUGAUAAAGCUCAGGGAAAUUUCUGGGCGUGCUAGACCUCAAUUUAGACCAAGUAUAAAAGAAGUGAUUCAGCCAGACGUGAUGGAGGAAAUGGUGGUAUCUUGUGUUAUUAAGCACUUGAACUUGGUUGAUGCACUGCAGUCUCUAAUAAAUUUCCAAUAUCAAGAAGAACAUGCUGAAGAAUAUGAUUUAUUAUGUAAAAUUAUGGGAGAGACCUUUAAGAAACUCAAUGCCAUGGAGAGACAGCUGCAGAGUGUUGCAGAACUGGAACAAAAAUGGCAAAGUGAAGUUGAUGAUGCCAUGCAGGGGAAACUGGAGAACAACAUACCUUUCUUUUAUGAUUACCAUUUUAAUGAGAACAAAAUGAAAGAACUAGAACUUUUAUGUUCAAUGAAGGAAGUCUCCUUUGAUGGGAAUGAUCUUGAAAACAUGGUCCUAUCACUGAGGGAGAAGUUCCUACAAGAAGUGAAUUCUCUUAUUCAGAAACCCUCACACCCACUGGCUAAAACAAAGACGUUAGUGAAGAGUUUAAUGAACCGAGCCGAGCUGUUGCUGCAUGUCACCAUCGCAGCCCAGUCGGGCCUCACGAGAAGCAUCUCUGGGACCCCUGCUGAAACACCAGCUUGUAAAUCAGCUUCUGAAACAAAAGUGAUAUCUCACGCUGUCAGGCAGCCUGUUUUUCUUCGCAGCAUGUCAGCUCCUUCUGACCUGGAAAUGAUUGGUAAUGAAGAUUUGGAAUUUACUAGAGCAAAUCAGAGUCUGUUCUGUGUUCCCCGUAGGCGUCGCCACGUGACCAGCCACCGCAGCAGCUCCUUUACACUCCUGCAGUCGCUGGCCAUUGAGGACAGCAGGGACAAGCCCACCUACAGUGUCCUGCUAGGGCAGCUGUUUGCUUUCAUCGGCACCAACCCUGACCAAGCUGUGUCCAGCAGCAGUUUCCUUUUGGCUGCACAGACAAGGUGGCGGCGGGGAAACACUCGCAAGCAGGCACUGGUGCACAUGCGGGAAUUGCUGACAGCUGCCGUACGAGUCGGGGGAGUGACGCAUCUUGUGGGUCCAGUGACGAUGGUCCUUCAGGGAGGACCCAGAAUUGAAGAACUCACAUGUGGUGGGAUGGUCGAGCAGGUCCAGGAAGCCUUUGGCGAGACCAUGACCUCUGUUGUGUCUUUGUGUGCUCGUUACCCUAUCGCUUGCGCAAAUAGCAUUGGACUCUUAUGUACCAUACCUUACACCAGGAGCGAAGAGAAGUGCCUGGUACGCAGUGGCCUUGUGCAGCUCAUGGAUCGACUGUGUAGCUUGAGCAAUCAGACCGAGUCCAGCUCCAGUGAGAAACAGACCAAGAAGCAGAAGGUGGCCACCAUGGCCUGGGCUGCCUUCCAGGUGCUUGCCAACCGCUGUGUUGAGUGGGAAAAAGAGGAAGGUGGCUCCACAGAGGCUGUGCACUCAGGUCUGGCCCGGCAGGUGUCCAGCCUUCUCACUAACCAUCUUGCCCGAGCCACAGAGUGCUGUGGCAACCAGGCUGCUGGGAAUGACGCGCUCCAGGAUGUACUUAGUCUUCUCAAUGAUCUCUCAAGGAGCCACAUAGGUAAAGCCAUCCUGAGCCAGCCAGCUUGUGUGUCCAAACUCCUCUCCCUGCUGCUUGACCAACGCCCGUCUCCAAAGCUAGUCCUUAUUAUUCUCCAGCUGUGCCGGGCGGCGCUGCCCCUGAUGAGCGUAGAAGACUGUGGAAACGUGGAGCUCCCACCCUGGAGCUACUCUGUCCCCUCCUUAAACAGUGAGCAGGAGGAUCCCAGCGACCCAGCUUCCAAGAUCGCCUCCCUGCUCUUAGCAAAGCUGGCAGAUUAUGUGGUUCCAGGAUGUCAGACAGUUCUUUCUCCAACCGCUUCUGAACCUGACACCACAUUGACAAAAACCAGUCCCAAGAAUUCCUUGAAAGGAGAUAAAGAUCCUGGAGAAGAGAGUGAGGCUGUGGAUGGCAAGCUCUCGAUAUUUAUCCACAAGCGGGAAGACCAGUCAUCCCAUGAAGUCCUCCAGCCAUUGCUAAGUAGUUCAGAAGGACGGCCCUUCCGACUUGGUACUGGCGCCAACAUGGAGAAAGUUGUGAAGAUGGAUCGAGACAUGACCAAGGGUGGCUGUUGCGAAGUGAUUACAGAAGAGGCUGCAGCCGCCCUGCGGAAAGCCACCAAGUGGGCACAGUCGGGCCUCAUCGUCAGCAUUGGGCCACCUGUAGAGUCUAUCAACCCAGAGACUGUGAGUGGACUAUCCACAGGCGACAAAAAGAAAACCGCCCAAACUUCCAUUUGCCGAGAGAGGAACUCGGAGCUUGCAAGGACUGAUCCUGUGCGUCCCUUCAUCAGUGGGCACGUGGCAAACAGCAUGGCUGCAGAAGUGAUCGCCUUGCUACAUAGCUUGCUCAUGGCACCUGAAUCAAAUGCUGCUCAAAUAUGGACCACAACAGCAGAGAAGGUUCUGUCUCGAGCACUGAUGUACAUUCCACAAUUGGGGAAAUACGCAGAAAGCAUUCUGGAAAAUGGCAGCAGCAGUGGCAGGAAACUUGCCAAACUUCAGAGAAUUGCACGCCAGGCCGUUGCCGCACUGUGUGCACUUGGAGGCUUCAAAGAGACAAUCAAGAUAGGAUCCGAGGUUCAGGUUUUAGGUAGAGGAAUUUCAGGAAGCAUUGGAGUAGUGGCUUCUAUCAAUGAACAGGAAGGUAUAGCUACAGUCAGAUUCCCACCCAUAGACUGUAGAAAGACUUCGCAAGCGUCAGACACAUUGACUAUUCCAUUGUCUAGACUUUGUGUUCCAAGAUCAGAGGCAUUGCCUCUUCAUAAACUGUCCAUUACUGAGAAGGUAGUACAGGCAGUCCAGUCCAUGUUGCUUCCUCAGGAGGGAAGUCUCUCUAUUCACACCUCACUUCCUGCAACAGGAGAUGGGUCAGCUCCUGUGAUGGCAGUCGUUCGGCUCCUUGCUGAAAUAAGGACAAGAGCAUGCCUGGUCAUGGCCCAGCUUUUAGAAGACAGCUUAUUUUGUGAAGAAUUCAUACAACAAUGUCCAGCAGCUGUUGAAGUUCUUAACCUAGUAGCCCAGGAAUGUAGUGCUGGAGAGCGACUUGCAGUUGUGGAGGUACAGUGUGAACGGCUGAGGAUGCUCUACCGGGACUGUGCUCGGCCCCCACCGCCUCCUUUGCAGGCUGACCGAAGACAGCCCAAAGAGAUUACUUGGAGCCCCUCGCGAGUGUUUCCGCCUGUUCGAGCCUGCAUGUUCUCAUCUCACCUUACCUCAGUCACCUUCCUGGCUGACCCCAGCGCUGGGGGAGGCCUGCCCCGGGGCACUUUUAUCUAUGCCACUUCACCACUGCCAGUUCAGGCCCCGUCUUUUUACUGGGAAAUUGAAAUCGUUUCCUAUGGAGACACCGAUGAUGACACCGGACCCAUAGUUUCCUUUGGCUUCACUACAGAAGCAGAGAAGCGAGAUGGGGCUUGGACUAAUCCAGUGGGCACUUGUCUUUUCCAUAACAACGGCCGAGCCGUGCACUAUAAUGGCUCCAGUUUGUUACAGUGGAAGAGCGUUCGCUUAGACGUGACUCUCUCCCCCGGUGACGUGGCAGGAAUUGGCUGGGAGAGAACCGAGGGGACUCCACCUCCUCCGGGACAGCCAGCCAAGGGCCGGGUGUACUUCACGUACUGCGGGCAGCGCCUCUUACCAUAUCUUGAAGACGUCUCUGGUGGCAUGUGGCCAGUGGUUCACAUUCAGAAAAAGAACACCAAAACCCGAGCUAACUUUGGCUCCCGGCCGUUUGCCUACGCGGAAGGGCAGGCCCACCGCAACGCUGCUGACCUGUGCACUGACCUAGCAGAAGAGAUCAGCGCUAACUUUGAGGCCCUGCCUUUCGCCAUGGCAUCUGACAGUGACAAUGAUGCUGGCACCAGUAUUGCAUCAGACCCAGGCACUCAUGGGCCACCAUGCCGGAUUGCUGCCGUGGCCACCGCUCAGCAACAAUAUGAUAGUGACACCUCCUGUCAUUAUAAAGUCGAGCUCAGCUAUGAGAAUUUCAUCACCUCUGGCCCAGACCCUCACCCGCCUCCCAUUGCAGAUGAUGAAAGCGAUGAUGAUGACGAUGAUGACAUCCCUCAGGAGGACCACUACGCCCUGCUGGUGAAAGCAUGGGAGACCAAGGUUUUUCCUACCAUCCGAAGACGCUUCCGCAAUGAAGCAGAGCGGAAAUCGGGCCUGGACCAGAUAAAGGGGGCCUUACAACUAGGUAUGGUGGAUAUUGCCCGACAGACGGUUGAAUUUCUCUACGAAGAGAAUGGUGGCAUCCCAAGAGACCUUUAUCUUCCCACCAUUGAAGACAUUAAAGACGAAGCAAACAAGUUCACAAUUGAUAAAGUUCGAAAAGGUCUCACAGUAGUAACCCGCUCUCCAGACAGCAAUAAUGUAGCCAGCAGUGCUGUUGGAACUGCUCUGCCAAAAUUUGCCAUCCGAGGGAUGCUGAAAACCUUUGGGCUUCAUGGAGUCGUCUUAGAUGUUGAUUCAGUGAAUGAACUGGUGCAGGUAGAAACGUACCUCCGCAGUGAAGGUGUGCUGGUGCGAUACUGGUAUCCUAUUGACAUGUUGGAAAGGCCCCCAGCAGGCUACCGAAGGACUGCCACCAAUGGGCUGGUCACACUGGACAAUACCAACCUUCAAAUUCACAGGGAGCUGCUGCGCUGCGAGGCUGCGCUGGCCAGGCUGUACUGCCGCAUGGCCCUGCUCAAUAUCUUCGCCCCCAAGUUGCCUCACUUGUUCACUCGCCUCUUCCACAUCCCUGCCAUCCGGGACAUUACCCUGGAGCACCUGCAACUGCUGUCCAAUCAGCUCCUCGCACCUCCUCUCCCAGACGGCACCAUCAGCUCCAGCUCGAUCCUCCUGGCGCAGUCUUUACAGCAUUGCAUCCAUUCCCAGAACUGCUCCGCCACGGACCUCUUUUACCAGGGCAACUCCCAGACAGUGAGAGAGUGGCUCAACGUGGCCAUCACCCGGACCCUGCACCAGGGCGAGGAGAGCCUUUUAGAGCUGACGAAACAGAUCUGCUCUUUCCUGCAGACAGCACCAGAGCAGUUCCCCUCCGAAGAGUUCCCAAUUUCCGAAUCCAAAGUCAACAUGGACGUGAAUUUCCCUGGGGCAGCUUUUGUUGUUGUGUCUUGUAAAGAAAGUCAAUCUGGAUUCCGCAAAGACUCCUCUCUGUACAAGGCACCGUGGGCACGGGUGCUCGUAUAUGGCCUCGGCCACAAAGUGAAGCGAAAUGGCCAGCUGAACCUCAUCGAGGCCGCCUGUUACCCGCGGGACGCGUCCCCAGCCAACACUGGGCUUGCACCUCCCCCCACCGCUGACCAGUACCCCUCUGUGGUCCUCUCCACAGACAGGGUCCACAUCAAACUGGGGGUGUCUCCACCUCCUGGAGCAGUCCUGGUGUUACAUUCCCUGCCCCUGGAGUUCCCACUGGCUAUGGCCUUCGCAGAGCAGCUGCUGUCCUGGAAAUCAGAGGACAGUGAAGGGAAGUCCGAAGAUGAGCCUGACACCAUUCCGACAUCCGUCCUCCUGCAGGUGGUGGAGCUGCUAGGAAACUUCUUGUGGACCACGGACAUGGCAGCCUGCGUGAAGGAGCUUGUUUUCCAUCUCCUGGCAGAGCUCCUGCGCACGGUGCACACCCUGGAGCAGAGGCGGCACCCCGCUGGCCUGUCCUCCUCAAUCGCCCUCCAGCUGAACCCCUGCCUGGCCAUGCUGAUGGCCUUGCAGUCGGAGCUCCACAAGCUGUACGACGAGGAGACGCAGAACUGGGUCUCAGGCGGCGCCUGCGGGGGCUCCGGGGGGGCGGCGGCCGGCGACCAGGGCAGGUUCUCUACCUAUUUUCAUGCACUCAUGGAAGGGUGCCUGGCUGUGGCCGAAGUGACCCUGCCUACUAACAUGAGUGUCACAGCCAGUGGGGUGACCUCAGCGACCGCCCCAAAUCUCAGUGACUCGUCCUCCUCCUCCUCGUCCUCCCCAGGACAGACCCCACAGAGUCCCAGCCUCCUCUCCAAGAGGAAGAAAGUCAAGAUGAAGCGGGAAAAGGCCUCCUCGUCGGGCAAGCGCCAGUCUUCCCGCACCGUGGACUCGGACCCCACCGUGCUCAGCAUCGGAGGCAGCAAGCCCGAGGACAUGCUGUGGUUCCACCGCGCACUCACCCUGCUCAUCAUCCUCCGCCACCUCACCAGGAAGGACCCACAGGGGCUGGGCGUGACGAGUGACGCCAUCGCCGAUGCCUGCCAGGCCCUGGUGGGCCCCACCGCCCACAGCCGCUUGCUGGUGAUCUCCGGGAUCCCCACCCACCUGGACGAGGGCGUAGUCAGAGGCGCCAUCCGCAAGGCCUGCAACGCCCACGGCGGGGUCUUCAAAGACGAGAUCUACAUCCCGCUGCAGGAAGAAGACACCAAGAAGCCGAAAGACAAGGCCGAGGGCGGGGACGGGAAAGUUGAGCCCGAGAAGACACUGGCCUUCCCUGGCACAGACAGCAUGGAGGUCAGCACGUCCAGCAGCCUGACCCCCGCCAUGAGCAUCAGCGCCUCCGCCUCCACCAGCCAGGCCUCCAUCUGCAGCUCGCAGGGCAUCUCCCAAACCGUCAGCGACCUCUCUGUGGAUCCGCUGCCUGCCGGCCUCGAGCUGCCCAUCCCUCCGGGCCUGUUGGAGCCCCACGCGGUGUCCAGCCAGGAAAGCCUGGACAUUUCCCUGUGCAGCACCGGCAGCCUGGGCAGCCUGGGCAGCCUGGGGGAGCCCCUGGACAAUGCAGAGACGGCCUCGGUGUCGGACAUGGGCUCCAUGUAUACAGUCACUUCCCUGGACAACCAGCCCCUCGCCGCCCGCCCCAUCAAAGGCUUCGCAGUCGUGGAGAUAAGAUCCCGAGCCAAAAUUGAGAAAAUUCGAGCAAGUUUAUUUAACAAUAAUGACUUGAUUGGUUUGUCAAGUUUGGAUGGUGAAGAUGAAUUGAUGGAAAUGUCAACAGAAGAGAUUCUAACCGUGUCUGUAGUAAAUCAGAGUCUCUUUGAUACUCAAGGGAGCCCAGGGUUAGAAGAUUAUUUCAAUGAUAAGUCAAUUAAAGGGGAGAAGCUGGUGCCCGGAGCCAGAGAGGUUCUGACGGAGAUAUUUAAGAGUUGUGCCCAUUCAGAGCAGACGCUGAGCCUGACACCAGCGAAGCCCAUCAGAGUCUCUGACAUUUAUCUUAGCAAAGAGCAGAUCAACUCCCAGACCCCAGGCAACCUCCUCCACCUCUUCUUCACCAAUGUCCGGCCUCCAAAAAAGGUGCUGGAGGAUCAGCUCACCCAGAUCCUGAGGAAGUAUGGCGUGCCAAAGCCCAAGUUUGACAAGAGCAAGUACAGCAAGGCCGGGAAGGAGCAGCACCCCGUGAAGGUGGUGAGCACCAAGCGGCCUAUCACCAAGCCGCCUGCCAAGGACAAGGCUGUGCUCAACAGCGUCAGCAGGACUGCCUUAAGUGAGAAGAAGCCAACUGUGAAGCCAAAAUCACCAGAAAAGAGCAAACCAGAUGAAAAGGACCCAGAAAAGUCACCUACCAAAAAACAAGAAGUCCCUGAGGAAAAAUACCUGACGCUGGAAGGAUUUCACAAAUUUGUUAUUGACCGAGCCAAGCAAGAUAUCCGUAGCGUCUGGAGGGCGAUCUUGUCCUGUGGUUAUGAUCUUCACUUUGAGAGGUGCGCAUGCAUCGAUGUCCGACAUGCACAGAAGGCCUCAAGAAAGUGGACCCUGGAGAUGGACGUGGCACUCGUGCAGUACAUCAACCAGCUAUGCCGCCACCUCGCCAUCACACCCGCACGGCUCCAUCCCCAUGAGGUGUACCUGGACCCCGCGGAUGCUGCUGACCCCAGAGUGGCCUGUCUCCUGAUGAUAGGGUUGCCUGUGUUGCCUGUGAGUCAGGCAUCUCAGCCACCUGGCCGAGAUCUCAGCCUGACUGCUCCUGCGCCCUCAGACGUGCCCAUCGAGAGCCUGCGCCUGCGCUUCGCCUUGCUGCAGUCCCUCAACACCACACUGGAGACCUUCUUCCUGCCCCUGGUGGAGCUGCGCCAGACACCCAUGUAUACCCACAGCAUCGCCGCCCUGCUGAAGGAGGCCAAAGGGCUGAUCUUCUAUGACACGAAGGUGACCGUGAUGAAUCGAGUGCUGAAUGCCACUGUGCAGAGGACAGCGGACCACGCGGCCCCUGAGAUCACCUUGGACCCACUGGAAAUUGUGGGAGGGGAAAUCAGAGCUUCUGAAAACUCCUACUUCUGUCAGGCUGCCAGGCAGCUGGCCUCAGUGCCGUCGUCUCAGCUCUGCGUCAAGCUGGCCAGUGGCGGUGACCCCACAUAUGCCUUCAACAUCCGCUUCACUGGCGAGGAGGUCCAUGGCACCACAGCGAACCUGCCCAGAGUGCCAGCCCUGGCCCAUCCUACACAUAGGGAAACUGGGACUCUACAAAGCCAAGUCACUUCCCAAGGUCAUGCAGCCAGCUGGGGUUCCAGGGUCCAGGCCCCUGGCCUUCCAGGCGUCAGCAGUCAGGAUGCUCCUGCUUCUCCUUGAAGCAGAGGCGGCUCUUUCCGCCACUUCCUGUGGCAGGUGUGUAAGGAGCUGCAGAGUUCCUCGCUGUCGCUGCUGCUGCUGUGCCCCAGCUCAGCUGUCAAUAAGAACAAGGGCAAGUAUAUCCUGACCCCGAGCCCCAUCACCUACGGGGAGGAGCAGCUGCUGCACUUCCUGGGGCAGCUGCUGGGGAUUGCAAUUCGGGCAGAUGUCCCGCUGCCCCUGGACCUCCUGCCCUCCUUCUGGAAGACGCUGGUGGGCGAGCCCUUGGACCCUGAGCAAGACCUGCAGGAAGCGGAUAUCCUCACCUACAAUUACGUCAAGAAGUUUGAGAGCAUCAAUGAUGAGACCGAGCUGGAGGCCCUGUGCGCUGAGAUCGCCUCCCAGCACCUGGCCACCGAGAGCCCUGACAGCCCCAACAAGCCCUGCUGCAGGUUCACCUACCUGACCAUGACGGGCGAGGAGGUGGAGCUGUGCAGCCGGGGCCGGCACAUCCUUGUGGCGUGGGAGAACAAGGACAUCUACGCAGCAGCCAUCCGGAGCCUGCGGCUGCGGGAGCUGCAGAAUGUGGAGUGCGUGACGGCCGUGCGGGCCGGCCUGGGCUCCAUCAUCCCCCUGCAGCUGCUGACCACGCUCAGCCCACUGGAGAUGGAGCUGCGCACCUGCGGCCUCCCCUACAUCAACCUCGAGUUCCUCAAGGCCCACACCAUGUACCAAGUGGGGCUGAUGGAGACGGACCAGCACAUCGAGUUCUUCUGGGGGGCCCUGGAGAUGUUCACCCAGGAGGAGCUGUGCAAGUUCAUCAAGUUUGCCUGCAACCAGGAGCGCAUCCCGUUCACCUGCCCCUGCAAAGAUGGGGGUCCCGACACCGCCCAUGUGCCCCCGUACCCCAUGAAGAUCGCCCCCCCAGAUGGCACAGCAGGUUCCCCAGACUCUCGCUACAUCCGCGUGGAGACCUGCAUGUUCAUGAUCAAGCUUCCCCAGUACUCCUCUCUGGAAAUCAUGCUGGAGAAACUUCGUUGUGCCAUUCACUACCGUGAAGACCCCCUCAGUGGCUGAUGGGAGGGAGCCCCAGAAUUAGGCUGUCACUGAGGCACCCACUCUGCUGGCUUGGGAAGCCACCACUGCGGCCCGUCCCUCCAGGGCCCUGCAUGAGGAGUUGGCAACAUUUUGCUUUUCCAAACUUUCGUCCACAUUCCAGGGCCUCCUGGAAGACUUAACCUUUUGUCUUUGUACGUUUCGUGAUGGGUUGGUUCUUUUGCUGCCUGUUUGUGGUCUAUUUGUAGGAUAGUUUAGUUCCCAGACAGUUUGUGUCUAAUUUGAUCUUCUUGGACAUUGUCCCUCGUGGCCACCAGAUUCUAAUGCCAUAAGGCCCCAGCUGGUUCCCCAUCACAGAACCACCCAGCAGGAAGCCGGGGGUACAAUGACCUCGGCCACACAGAGCGCUCGUGCUUUCAGCAGAGCGCCUCCACAGACAAGCCUGUGGCCAGCCCUGCCCUCCAGCCUCGAGCUGGAGUUGCUCCAGAGGCAGCCCCAGCAGGCCUCCCUCCACAUAGAGGUGGCUGGGCCAAUUGCCCAAACACGUGAGACACACAGGGAGCUUUAUGUGUUCAUCUUCCUGCUUUAGAACUUGCUCCCGGUCUUGGUUUUUCUGAGGAAAAGCCCACAGUGGUUCCCCUGCCCCUCCCAUACCUCCCUAUCUGCCGUCUGUCUCUUUGGGCCCUGGUCUGACAGUUUUCAUCUGAGGCCUCUUCGGGAGCAGGAGACUUAAGGGUUCAUCCCGACCUUAGUUCACAGAGCCUAGCUGGGUGCAUCCCAGCCGCAGGGGGUGAGAAGACACCCAGAGAUGGGGGACAGUGCUCAGGUGGGGGCCUCCUCCGAGACUCUGGUUGAAGAGGAAAGCACAUGAUUCAAGCCUACCCCACAAAAAAGGAGCACAAAAUGCUCAGAAAUGGCCCUUCCUCCCUGCAGUGACGUAGGACAAGGGAAAGGGCCACACCCGUUUUCAAAAGAGUGGACUGAGGUGCUCUGCUCAAUUUGGGGUCUGCUUUAGUGACCCAGACACUCAAGUCCAGAUGGAGACUCCAGGGGGGUCCUUCUGCCCCUCUGACCAGCCCCACCCAGCACUCCCCAUCACCCCAUGUAAGUGUGUAUGCCAGGGCUGAGCUGCCUCCAGGCUCACCCACUGCCCCAGUGCAUCUUUGCCCCAAAUAGGUCUUUGUCCAGUGGUACUUUGUUCAUGAGCAGCACAGGCCAUCUUGUUGGACACUGUCACUAUGGGCCUUGCCAGGUCUCACAGAAUCACAUCGCUGUAUUUAUUGUAUAAUAUUGUGAAUAUUGGAAGUUUUGAGUGAGUGCUGUCUAGAAGGUUUUGGAGUGUGGAUGCUGGUCCAAGAAAGAAGAUGUGCCCUGGCCUGCUGGAAAGAUUGUGAAUUCUAGAGAUAGAGCCGUUAGCAUCCAUCUCCUCCCUGUAACUCUUAGGAAAUGCAUCAAGGACCAUUAUAGAAAGGAUCCCCUGACCUAAGGAUGAAAUCGACCUAGGGUUAAUCAUGACAGCUGCAUCAGUUGUAUUGGAUGCAAGUCAACUCUGGAGGUGAGUGCCCGCAAGCAGUUCCCCUGCUUUGAAAGAAGAUGGUCAGCCCGCUGCCUCCCCAGCGGCCACAGCUCCUUUGAGUGUGGGGGGUCACAUCCAGGACGUAUUCCUGACAAUAAGGAUCCUUUUAUUUUCAUUUCUGCAUAAUGAAAGAGCCUUUCGAUUUAUUAGAAGUGGUUUUUCCUCCCUACAUCUUUAAAUUCUUGGUUCUCUUUAGUCCUCAUCCCUUGAAUGGACUUGUCAGCUACCUCCCCAGGAGGAGUUCAGAAGCUUCUGUUGGCCAUCACUUGAGUAGAUGACAAGCUGUAAGGUAUCUGCUGCUAACGUGGCUGCUUCUCCGAGAGCACAUUGAGGUCCAGACAGAUCCAAACCUUGGCCCUAAAAAAUGUGUGCUGUAAAGUUACUUGAUGUAUAUUUAUUAUAAUUAUUUAUGGUUGCAUUUAACAAACUUUUCAUUCAAUCUGAUGCUAUUUACACCAUGCUGUGUAAAGGAAGCUCACUAAAGGAAAAAAGUCACACCAAUAAAUAACCUUCAUCUAAUUUUGAUUUACCUUAAGAGUUGUGUGAUCAUCUACUCUUGCUGAGCAAGUUCAAAGGCUGGCAUGCUUGGAUGGCUCUGAUAUUUAAGUGCUGCCAAGUGGCUAGGAAUUAAAGUGUUUCUAAUUAU